ACUUAGGUAGUUUAAUUAAAAUUUUGAUUUGUGGUGUCAAAGAUAUAUAGUUAUAUUCUAGGUC
rnacentral:tRNA from 1 species